rnacentral:rRNA from 1 species
AUUGAACGCUGGCGGCAGGCCUAACACAUGCAAGUCGAGCGAGCGGCGGACGGGUGAGUAAUGUAUGGGAAACUGCCUGAUGGCGGGGGAUAACUACUGGAAACGGUAGCUAAUACCGCAUACCAUCAGAUGGGCCCAGAUGGGAUUAGCUAGUAGGUUGGGUAAUGGCUUACCUAGGCGACGAUCCCUAGCUGGUCUGAGAGGAUGAACAGCCACACUGGAACGUAGACACUGUCCAGACUCCUACGGGAGGCAGCAGUGGGGAAUAUUGCACAAUGGGCGCAAGCCUGAUGCAGCCAUGCCGCGUGUAUGAAGAAGGCCUUCGGGUUGUAAAGUACUUUCAGCGGGGAGGCGUUACUCACAGAAGAAGCACCGGCUAACUCCGUGCCAGCCGCCGCGGUAAUAC